rnacentral:rRNA from 1 species
AGUGGGGAAUAUUGCACAAUGGAGGAAACUCUGAUGCAGCAACGCCGCGUGGAGGAUGACGCAUUUCGGUGUGUAAACUCCUUUUAUAUAGGAAGAUAAUGACGGUACUAUAUGAAUAAGCACCGGCUAACUCCGUGCCAGCAGCCGCGGUAAUACGGAGGGUGCAAGCGUUACUCGGAAUCACUGGGCGUAAAGCGCAUGCAGGCGGUUUAUUAAGUUGGAAGUGAAAUCCUAUGGCUCAACCAUAGAACUGCUUCCAAAACUGAUAAACUAGAGUCUGGGAGGGGAAGAUGGAAUUAGUAGUGUAGGGGUAAAAUCCGUAGAGAUUACUAGGAAUACCAAAAGCGAAGGCGAUCUUCUGGAACAGUACUGACGCUGAGAUGCGAAAGCGUGGGGAGCAAACAGGAUUAGAUACCCUGGUAGUCCACGCAGUAAACGAUGAAUGUUAGUCGUUGGGACUCUAGUAGUUUCAGUGAUGCAGUUAACACAUUAAACAUUCCGCCUGGGGAGUACGGUCGCAAGAUUAAAACUCAAAGGAAUAGACGGGGACCCGCACAAGUGGUGGAGCAUGUGGUUUAAUUCGAAGAUACGCGAAGAACCUUACCUAGCCUUGACAUACUACAGAAUUUGACAGAGAUGUUGGAGUGCCUUCGGGAGCUGUAAUACAGGUGCUGCACGGCUGUCGUCAGCUCGUGUCGUGAGAUGUUGGGUUAAGUCCCGCAACGAGCGCAACCCUCGUCCUUAGUUACUAACGGUUCGGCCGAGGACUCUAAGGAGACUGCCUUCGUAAGGAGGAGGAAGGUGAGGACGACGUCAAGUCAUCAUGGCCCUUACGGCUAGGGCAACACACGUGCUACAAUGGUUAGGACAAUGAGAAGCGAUACCGCGAGGUGGAGCAAAUCUAUAAACCUAAUCUCAGUUCGGAUAGCAGUCUGCAAGCUCGACUGCUUGAAGCUGGAAUCACUAGUAAUCGUUAAAAGGGUAUGUUACGGUGAAUACGU